rnacentral:rRNA from 1 species
GUGUCAGCCGCCGCGGUAAUACAUACUGUGCGAACGUUAUUCGGAUUUACUGGGCUUAAAGGGUGCGUAGGCGGUUCGUUAAGUAGGGUGUGAAAGCCCCUGGCUCAACCAGGGAAUUGCACUCUAUACUGGCGGGCUAGAGUGAGAUAGGGGUGUCCGGAACUGCCGGUGGAGCGGUGAAAUGUGUUGAUAUCGGCAGGAACGCCGGUGGCGAAAGCGGGACACUGGGUCUCAACUGACGCUGAGGCACGAAAGCCAGGGGAGCGAACGGGAUUAGAAACCCCAGUAGUCC